rnacentral:rRNA from 1 species
AAAACUUUCAACAACGGAUCUCUUGGUUCUGGCAUCGAUGAAGAACGCAGCGAAAUGCGAUAAGUAAUGUGAAUUGCAGAAUUCAGUGAAUCAUCGAAUCUUUGAACGCACAUUGCGCCCCUUGGCAUUCCGAGGGGCAUACCUGUUCGAGCGUCAUUGCACCCCUCAAGUCCUUUCCGGCUUGGUGUUG